rnacentral:rRNA from 1 species
GACGAACGCUGGCGGCGUGCUUAACACAUGCAAGUCGAACGGAAAGGCCCUGCUUUUGUGGGGUGCUCGAGUGGCGAACGGGUGAGUAACACGUGAGUAACCUGCCCUUGACUUUGGGAUAACUUCAGGAAACUGGGGCUAAUACCGGAUAGGAGCUCCUGCUGCAUGGUGGGGGUUGGAAAGUUUCGGCGGUUGGGGAUGGACUCGCGGCUUAUCAGCUUGUUGGUGGGGUAGUGGCUUACCAAGGCUUUGACGGGUAGCCGGCCUGAGAGGGUGACCGGCCACAUUGGGACUGAGAUACGGCCCAGACUCCUACGGGAGGCAGGAGUGGGGAAUAUUGCACAAUGGGCGGAAGCCUGAUGCAGUAACGCCGCGUGCGGGAUGACGGCCUUCGGGUUGUAAACCGCUUUCGCCUGUGACGAAGCGUGAGUGACGGUAAUGGGUAAAGAAGCACCGGCUAACUACGU